UACGUAGGGCGCAAGCGCUGUCCGGAAUUAUUGGGCGUAAAGAGCUCGUAGGCGGCUUGUCACGUCGGAUGUGAAAGCCCGAGGCUUAACCUCGGGUCUGCAUUCGAUACGGGCUAGCUAGAGUGUGGUAGGGGAGAUCGGAAUUCCUGGUGUAGCGGUGAAAUGCGCAGAUAUCAGGAGGAACACCGGUGGCGAAGGCGGAUCUCUGGGCCAUUACUGACGCUGAGGAGCGAAAGCGUGGGGAGCGAACAGG
rnacentral:rRNA from 1 species